rnacentral:rRNA from 1 species
UAAGGGCGUCGAGCGGCGGACGGGUGAGUAAUGCCUGGGAAUAUGCCUUGAUGUGGGGGAUAACUAUUGGAAACGAUAGCUAAUACCGCAUAAUGCCUUCGGGCCAAAGAGGGGGACCUUCGGGCCUCUCGCGUCAAGAUUAGCCCAGGUGGGAUUAGCUAGUUGGUGAGGUAAAGGCUCACCAAGGCGACGAUCCCUAGCUGGUCUGAGAGGAUGAUCAGCCACACUGGAACUGAGACACGGUCCAGACUCCUACGGGAGGCAGCAGUGGGGAAUAUUGCACAAUGGGCGCAAGCCUGAUGCAGCCAUGCCGCGUGUGUGAAGAAGGCCUUCGGGUUGUAAAGCACUUUCAGUCGUGAGGAAGGUGGUGUAGUUAAUAGCUGCAUCAUUUGACGUUAGCGACAGAAGAAGCACCGGCUAACUCCGUGCCAGCAGCCGCGGUAAUACGGAGGGUGCGAGCGUUAAUCGGAAUUACUGGGCGUAAAGCGC